rnacentral:rRNA from 1 species
AGUGGACGCUGGCGGUAGGCCUAACACAUGCAAGUCGUACGGCAGCACAGUAAGAGCUUGCUCUUACGGGUGGCGAGUGGCGGACGGGUGAGGAAUACAUCGGAAUCUACUUUUUCGUGGGGGAUAACGUAGGGAAACUUACGCUAAUACCGCAUACGACCUACGGGUGAAAGCAGGGGAUCUUCGGACCUUGCGCGAUUGAAUGAGCCGAUGUCGGAUUAGCUAGUUGGCGGGGUAAAGGCCCACCAAGGCGACGAUCCGUAGCUGGUCUGAGAGGAUGAUCAGCCACACUGGAACUGAGACACGGUCCAGACUCCUACGGGAGGCAGCAGUGGGGAAUAUUGGACAAUGGGCGCAAGCCUGAUCCAGCCAUACCGCGUGGGUGAAGAAGGCCUUCGGGUUGUAAAGCCCUUUUGUUGGGAAAGAAAAGCAGCAGGUUAAUACCCCGCUGUUCUGACGGUACCCAAAGAAUAAGCACCGGCUAACUUCGUG